GCAGCGUUCGUCUAAUGGUGAGGACUUCAGAGUUUCAAUCUGAGAAUGUGGGUUCGACUCCCAUACGCUGUUCCA
rnacentral:tRNA from 1 species